UACACUCCUGCGGGAGGCAGCAGUGGGGAAUUUUGGCCAAUGGGCGAAAGCCUGAUCCAGCAAUGCCGCGUGAGUGAAGAAGGCCUUCGGGUUGUAAAGCUCUUUUGUCAGGGAAGAAACGGUGAGAGCUAAUAUCUCUUGCUAAUGACGGUACCUGAAGAAUAAGCACCGGCUAACUACGUGCCAGCAGCCGCGGUAAUACGUAGGGUGCAAGCGUUAAUCGGAAUUACUGGGCGUAAAGCGUGCGCAGGCGGUUUUGUAAGUCUGAUGUGAAAUCCCCGGGCUCAACCUGGGAAUUGCAUUGGAGACUGCAAGGCUAGAAUCUGGCAGAGGGGGGUAGAAUUCCACGUGUAGCAGUGAAAUGCGUAGAUAUGUGGAGGAACACCGAUGGCGAAGGCAGCCCCCUGGGUCAAGAUUGACGCUCAUGCACGAAAGCGUGGGGAGCAAACAGGAUUAGAAACCCUUGUAGUCCC
rnacentral:rRNA from 1 species